rnacentral:lncRNA from 1 species
AUCCGUCCUACUGGACAAUUCCACAUCGUUCAGGUCCGAGAAAGAUGCUGCUCCAAACGCAAAUUCGGCUAGAGGGUUUGAUGUUGUAGAUAGAAUGAAAGCAGAGAUUGAGGAAGUUUGUCCAGGAACAGUGUCUUGUGCGGAUGUUCUCGCCAUCGCCGCUCAAAUAUCAGUGCUUUUGGUAUGUACAUAUCUACAUGAUCAUGACCUAUAUGGAUGAAUUAAUCAAAAUGUUAUAAACUUUGACGUUUGUGUUUUAUGGUAUAUAGUCGGGAGGUCCAUGGUGGCCGGUAUCAUUGGGGAGAAGAGACGGCUCACAAGCUUUCUUCGAUCUAUCUAAUACAGCUCUUCCUUCUCCAUUUGCCACCCUUGCUGAACUUAAAACAGUUUUUAGAGACGCUGGUCUAAACCGCACCUCAGAUCUAGUUGCUCUUUCUGGUAAAUUUGUACUUUUGUGAUGAAAAGUCUUUUGGUUUAUACGAUUAAUUUAAUAAUGACAACUCGUAUAUUAAGUUGUGAUGACUUUCUUAUACAAGGUUUUCAAGUUUGAAUCAUAACAAUAUAUUAAAAAAAUAUUAAAUGUGUUUUUAAGUCAUAGGAAUUGGUCAAUACGCUCAAUACUAUACUUUAAAUAGAAAACCCAUUUGCUUGAAAUACAUGAUACCCCAACCAAAUUAGUAUAUAUAUAUAUAUAUAUAUAUAUAUAUAUAUAUAUAUCCGUUAGCAUAUAUGGUAAAAGACAAAACGUGACUCAUCUUUGAUUAACACAUAAAAAAUCUAUCUAACCAUAUUUUUGUCAUAUUUGUACAGGUGCUCACACAUUUGGAAGAGCACAAUGUAUAGUUAUCACACCUCGUCUCUACAACUUCAACGGUACCAAUAAACCAGACCCGAGUAUAAACCCAACUUUCCUCACCCAACUCCGUAAACUGUGCCCUGAAAACGGGAACCCGACCGUUCUGGCCAACUUUGACCUCGCGACUCCAAAUCGUUUCGAUAGUCAUUACUACACCAAUCUUCGUCAAGGGAAAGGUGUAAUCCAGAGCGAUCAAGAACUCUUCUCGACUCCAGGAGCCGACACAAUUCCACUGGUGGAACUAUACAGCAAAAACACGUUCGAG